UCUCUCCUUGCCUUUGCCUUUAAUCUCUUCUUUAUCCGUCUUUCUUUCCCCUUUCUGUCUCUUUUUUCUGGCUUCCACUCUCUGUCUCGGGAGAAGGGGUGGGGAGAAUUCAUCCAAGAGCAGAAAGUAGGUUUGUCAUUAAAUGGGGUGAAAUAGUAAAUAGCUGAAGAAGAAGUAGAAGUAGACGAGAGUAACGCGCGCGGGGAGCACCAAUAGCAGCAGCAGCAGGGCUGCAGUUUCCAUGGCGGCGUUUGCAGAGCUCUAAUUCCGUGUGCCAUUAUUAUUAUUGCAAAACCCAACAGCAUUUCCGAUUCCCGAUUUUCUUCUUCUUUCCUCUCCUACUACUAUUACUACUGUGUAACAACUGCGACUCUCUCUCUUUCUCUCUCUACCCUAAAUAGGGAAUUAUCCAGCUGGAUUACUAGCUAGGCUUGAAAUUGAGGAGCGGAAUUCUAGGAUUUGAAGAGCGACACCCAUUUCUGCUAUGGAUUUGGGUAGAAAAUUGU
rnacentral:lncRNA from 1 species